AAAUUGAAGAGUUUGAUCAUGGCUCAGAUUGAACGCUGGCGGCAGGCCUAACACAUGCAAGUCGAACGGUAACAGGAAGCAGCUUGCUGCUUUGCUGACGAGUGGCGGACGGGUGAGUAAUGUCUGGGAAACUGCCUGAUGGAGGGGGAUAACUACUGGAAACGGUAGCUAAUACCGCAUAACGUCGCAAGACCAAAGAGGGGGACCUUCGGGCCUCUUGCCAUCGGAUGUGCCCAGAUGGGAUUAGCUAGUAGGUGGGGUAACGGCUCACCUAGGCGACGAUCCCUAGCUGGUCUGAGAGGAUGACCAGCCACACUGGAACUGAGACACGGUCCAGACUCCUACGGGAGGCAGCAGUGGGGAAUAUUGCACAAUGGGCGCAAGCCUGAUGCAGCCAUGCCGCGUGUAUGAAGAAGGCCUUCGGGUUGUAAAGUACUUUCAGCGGGGAGGAAGGGAGUAAAGUUAAUACCUUUACUCAUUGACGUUACCCGCAGAAGAAGCACCGGCUAACUCCGUGCCAGCAGCCGCGGUAAUACGGAGGGUGCAAGCGUUAAUCGGAAUUACUGGGCGUAAAGCGCACGCAGGCGGUUUGUUAAGUCAGAUGUGAAAUCCCCGGGCUCAACCUGGGAACUGCAUCUGAUACUGGCAAGCUUGAGU
rnacentral:rRNA from 1 species